rnacentral:rRNA from 1 species
CCUACGGGGGGCAGCAGUGAGGAAUAUUGGUCAAUGGACGAGAGUCUGAACCAGCCAAGUAGCGUGAAGGAUGACUGCCCUAUGGGUUGUAAACUUCUUUUAUAUGGGAAUAAAAUGUUCCACGUGUGGGAUUUUGUAUGUACCAUAUGAAUAAGGAUCGGCUAACUCCGUGCCAGCAGCCGCGGUAAUACGGAGGAUCCGAGCGUUAUCCGGAUUUAUUGGGUUUAAAGGGAGCGUAGGUGGAUUGUUAAGUCAGUUGUGAAAGUUUGCGGCUCAACCGUAAAAUUGCAGUUGAAACUGGCAGUCUUGAGUAUAGUAGAGGUGGGUGGAAUUCGUGGUGUAGCGGUGAAAUGCUUAGAUAUCACGAAGAACUCCGAUUGCGAAGGCAGUUCACUGGACUGCAACUGACACUGAGGCUCGAAAGUGUGGGUAUCAAACAGGAUUAGAUACCCUUGUAGUC